rnacentral:rRNA from 1 species
AACGUUANNNNNNNNUUGCCUCGGCGGGAUCUUCUGCCCCGGGUGCGUCGCAGCCCCGGACCAAGGCGCCCGCCGGAGGAAUCAACCAAAACUCUUAUUGUAUACCCCCUCGCGGGUUUUUUUUUAUAAUCUGAGCCUUCUCGGCGCCUCUCGUAGGCGUUUCGAAAAUGAAUCAAAACUUUCAACAACGGAUCUCUUGGUUCUGGCAUCGAUGAAGAACGCAGCGAAAUGCGAUAAGUAAUGUGAAUUGCAGAAUUCAGUGAAUCAUCGAAUCUUUGAACGCACAUUGCGCCCGCCAGUAUUCUGGCGGGCAUGCCUGUCCGAGCGUCAUUUCAACCCUCGAACCCCUCCGGGGGGUUGGCGUUGGGGAUCGGCCUUCCUUCACGGGGGCCGUCUCCGAAAUACAGUGGCGGUCUCGCCGCAGCCUCUCCUGCGCAGUAGUUUGCACACUCGCAUCGGGAGCGCGGCGCGUCCACAGCCGUUAAACACCCAACUUUCUGAAAUGUUGACCUCGGAUCAGGUAGGAAUACCCGCUGAACUUA